rnacentral:rRNA from 1 species
AUUCCGGUUGAUCCUGCCGGAGGACAUUGCUAUUGGGAUUCGAUUUAGCCAUGCUAGUCGAGCGAGUUCAGACUCGCGGCGAAUAGCUCAGUAACACGUGGCCAAGCUCCCCUUCAGUCAGCGAUACCCUCGGGAAACUGAGGUUAACAGCUGAUACAAAACGCCAGCUGGAAUGCGGCGUUUCAGAAAGACAUCGCUGAAGGAUGCGGCUGCGGCCGAUUAGGUAGACGGUGGGGUAACGGCCCACCGUGCCAGUAAUCGGUACGGGUGAUGAGAGUCAGAGCCCGGAGACGGAAUCUGAGACAAGAUUCCGGGCCCUACGGGGCGCAGCAGGCGCGAAACCUUACACUGCACGGAAGUGCGAUAGGGGAAUCCCAAGUGCGAGGGCAUAUUAGCCCUCGCUUUUCUCGACUGUAAGGUGGUCGACGAAUAAGAGCUGGGCAAGACCGGUGCCAGCCGCCGCGGUAAUACCGGCAGCUCAAGUGAUGUCCCAUAUUAUUGGGCCUAAAGCGUCCGUAGCU